rnacentral:lncRNA from 1 species
GGCUUUUCUCCUCAGAGCCUGCUCUGUCUCUCUUUCCACCUCUGCCACGGCCACACUGGAGCUGCAGAUUGUACAUGGAUCUCUUCUCAUUCCUUUGGUUUAUUCCCUGUUCUCUGUUUCCCAUUCCAGUCCUCUUCUCUCUUCUUUUGCCCUCCUCAGAUCCCUGAGUCCCGCCUUCCUGCUGGGGCUCUCUAAUCUUUCUUCUGUCUCUUUUUGGAUUUCCAUCUUUCAGGUUUGAGGAGAGCGUCUUAUGCUUUAGGCCAAAAGUAGAGAAUGAAGCACUAUCCAGUCUUAGCACCUGCUGAGUUAGUGAUCCAUGGCAGUGCCUGAGACUUGUGUUGGCUUUAAUGUAGAUCUUCUAAACAAAGCAAAACAAAAUAAACCACCUAUAACCAGUGACAGCUGACUUAGCACGUAGACCUUGAAAACAGGAAACAAGCCCUAAUCCGUGACACACAUUUUAUUUUUUAAUUUUUUAAUUUUUUUUUUUUUUUUUUUUUUUUGCUGGCCUCGAACUCAGAAAUCCGCCUGCCUCUGCCUCGCGGGUGCUGGGAUUAAAGGCGUGCGCCACCACCGCCCGGUGACACACAUUUUAAGAAUGAGCCUGCGUGGUGGUGCGUUUUCUUAGUAUUGGGUAGGUGAGGGUUUGUUCAGUUUUCUUUUUUUUUCUGGACUGGUCAGCUGGCUUUGAAAAGAUUUGAUGCUUAGAAUGGCUGAAGGAGUCAGAUGAGGUGGAGCAGGUCUGUGAUGCCUCCAUUGAGAGGUCAGGGUCAUCUUUGGCUACAGUUGCAGGCUACCUUUACUGUGUGUGAGAGCCUGUUCCUUUCUGGUUCCUCUCCCCAGGAUCUCAGGACUCUUACUUAGUAAUAACUGUCUAACCCCAGCACUCGGGAGCUAGAGGCAAGAGGAUCAGGAGUGGAAAGUCAUCCCUUGAUAUAUUUGUAGUUUGAGAUCAGUUUGGGCUUUUUACUACACUAAUUUUUUCUUCUCCAAAUAAAGCAAGAUUACAAGGGCAUGAUCAGCAGUGCAUGCCUGCAAUCUCAUCGACUCCAGAAACUGAGGCAGGAGGUUUACAGAUCCCAGAUCCUCUUAGCAAGGAGACACUGUUCUUCCCCUGCCCCGUCAAGAGACUUUUAUGCCGCCCACACAUGUUUUUAAGAGGCUGUGUUCGAGUGUGGUAUUUUAAAGUGAAGGUUUAGAGGCUCUGGGUCUUAGACAAAGCCACAAAAAGAUGGAGGCAGGCAGAGCAUCAGCCUCUGCAGAGCAUCAGCCUCUUUCCAAGGAAGCAGCUUCUCACUCGUUCCUUUAUCUUGGCUUCCCUUAAGGAUGGCUGUGGGUUUUCAGGAUUUAGUAAUGUAUCUGAUAUCUAUGAAGGGUCUUCUCUCUUUCUUUUUGUAUAUAAAAUGCACAAUUAGACACAGAGAAGUUAUAUAUUUUUGUGUGCUUUGUAUAUAUUACAGCUGUGGAUUCAAACUCUCAAACUUUGCAACCAAUAACAUUGGAAUUGAGAAGACGGAAAAUAUCAAAACGAAGUGACACCCCAUUAAAGCGUCCCAGACUCGACAAAAAUUCACGUGAGUCCCCAGUUUAUGAAUAUGUGGCUAGAAUUUGAUAAAUUACUUGAGUCAGCUCCUGUGUCUGUCUGUCCCUGUUUCUUAUGAGUACUAAUGACUGUCUUUGAAUACAUGAGCUAAUGUGAGUGGAAUGUGAUUGAGAUAGUAGUUUUUAAAUGCUAAAAACAACAGGACCGAGUUUGUGGUGGGCUCAGUGAUAGCAUAUCUACUUCCAUAAAGUAUAUUAGAUUUAGAUUCCUUCAGAAAUAUAUGGCCUACUAUACUAAGGAUAGAUUUCAUGUGGUGAGAAAAACUUCAGCCAGCCACGGUGGCACACACUUUCAACCCUAGCACUAGGGAGGCAGAGGGAGGCUGAUCUCUGUGAGUUUAAGGACAGCCAGGUCUACACAGAGAGACCCUGUCUGAAAAAACAAAGAGAAUAUUAGAAAUACUAUUUUUUUUUACUAGAAAACAAGCAUGUUGACCCCAAAAAGGAAUUAUGAUGGUUUUAAAAUAAGGUUCUCAUAAGCCAUGUUUGACUUUAGGAGUUAGUACACAGUCCUUCAUGUUGGAAGCUCCAAAUUAGAGCUGUGGUCACGAUAGGCACAUGCCGCCUGGCGUGGUGGGGAACGCCUUUAAUCCCAGCACUUGGGAGGCAGAGGCAGGCGGUUCGAGGACAGCCAGGGCUACACAGAGAAACCCUGUCUUGAAAAACC